AGAGAGAGACAUGCGCGCAUAUCAAUAAGCGGAGGAAAAGAAACUAACAAGGAUUCCCUUAGUAACGGCGAGUGAAGCGGGAAGAGCUCAAAUUUGAAAUCUUCAAGGUUUUACCUUGACGAAUUGUAGUUUAAAGAAGUGUUUUCCGCUGAAGUUUUGGUAAAAGUUCUUUGGAAUAGGACAUCAUAGAGGGUGAGAAUCCCGUAUUUGACCAUUAUUUUCAGCUGUGUGAUACACUUUCAAAGAGUCGGAUUGUUUGGGAAUGCAGUCCAAAAUGGGUGGUAAAUUUCAUCUAAAGCUAAAUAUUGGCGAGAGACCGAUAGCGAACAAGUACCGUGAGGGAAAGAUGAAAAGAACUUUGAAAAGAGAGUUAAACAGUACGUGAAAUUGUCAAAAGGGAAGCGUUUGACACCAGUGUUGUUUUCUCGAAAAUCAAUUAAAAAGAGUUGGAUUUUGUGUUGUACUGACCUUAACAGCUUUCUUCACUCUUUUCCUGCUUUUUUUAAUGCACUUUUCGUUUAACAAGUCAACAUCAGUUUCUUUUGUUGUAAAAGGGUCAUUGGAGGGUGGCUUUCUUUUCGGAGAAAGUGUUUAUAGCCUUUGGCCUCUGCAAUCGGAGAGACUGAGGUCUGCAGCGUAGACUCUUCGGGGUUAGAUACAUUUGUGCUAAGUUAUAGCUUUUUAUAGACAACUUGUUGACUAUAAUUAGUCUUGUAGCUUACUCGCUUAUGCUAUUUUACCUACGCUUAGGAUGUUGAGUCGUAGAGCACGCAG
rnacentral:rRNA from 1 species